AUACUCAAUAGAUGUUCAUUUGCCCAUCUAGUCCACCCACCUACCAAUCCAUUCUUGUUACUUUUUUUUCUUCUCCAGAGUUUAUAGGAUUGAAAGGAGAGAAUCAGUUGCAACAGGUGCCCCUGGAGCCUCUUCUUAUUCGUCAGGAUCAACAUUAUCCAUUUUGUAAAAGAGAAGAGGCAACCAUAUGGAUAAAACCUGCAGAUGCCAGAAGGAAAGAUGCUUGUCUGCAGCAUCUUUCCCUCUGGGACUAUAGAGGAGUAUGUCAAGGCUGUAUAUUGUCACCCUGCUUAUUUAACUUACAUACAGAGUACAUCAUGCGAAAUGCCAGACUGGAUGAAGCACAAGCUAAAUCAAGAUUGCCAGGAGAAAUAUCAACAACCUCAGAUAUACAGAUGACACCACCCUUAUGGCAGAAAGCGAAGAGGAACUAAAGAGCCUCUUGAUGAAAGUGAAAGAAAAGAGUGAAAAAGCUGGCUUAAAAUUCAACAUUCAAAAAACAAAGAUC
ensembl:lncRNA